rnacentral:tRNA from 1 species
GGCUCGUUGGUCCAGGGGUAUGGUUCCUGCUUAGGGUGCAGGAGGUCCCGGGUUCAAAUCCCGGACGAGCCC